rnacentral:rRNA from 1 species
UACGUAGGGGGCUAGCGUUGUCCGGAUUUAUUGGGCGUAAAGAGCGUGUAGGCGGCCAGGUAGGUCCGUUGUGAAAACUCGAGGCUCAACCUCGAGACGUCGGCGGAAACCAUCUGGCUAGAGUCCGGAAGAGGAGAGUGGAAUUCCUGGUGUAGCGGUGAAAUGCGCAGAUAUCAGGAAGAACACCCGUGGCUAAGGCGGCUCUCUAGUACGGUACUGACGCUGAGACGCGAAAGCGUGGGGAGCGAACAGG